rnacentral:rRNA from 1 species
CCUACGGGUGGCAGCAGGGAGGAAUAUUGGUCAAUGGGCGCGAGCCGGAACCAGCCAAGUCGCGUGAGGGAAGACGGCCCUACGGGGUGUAAACCUCUUUUGCCGGGGAGCAACGGGCGCCACGUGUGGCGCCACGGAGAGGACCCGGAGAAAAAGCAGCGGCUAACGCCGUGCCAGCAGCCGCGGUAAUACGGAGGAGGCGAGCGUUAGCCGGAUUGAUUGGGUUGAAAGGGGGCGUAGGCGGAGCGUUAAGUCAGUGGUCAAAUUGAGGGGCUCAACCCCUGCCCGCCAUUGAAACUGGCGCUCUUGAGUGGACGAGAAGUAUGCGGAAUGCGUGGUGUAGCGGU